CUCUUAUCCAGAGCGGCGGAGGGACUGGCCCGAUGAUGCCCGGCAACCAACCAUUCAUAAGGUAGUGGUGCUAAUUCCUGGGAGAAAUCCACAGAUGAGAG
rnacentral:ncRNA from 2 species